rnacentral:rRNA from 1 species
GACGAACGCUGGCGGCGUGCCUAACACAUGCAAGUCUAGGGAGAAAGGGGUAGCAAUAUCCCGUGUAAACCGGCGCAAGGGUGAGUAACACGUAGGUAACCUGCCUUCAGGACGGGAAUAACCCCGAGAAAUCGGGGCUAAUACCCGAUUAUGCAGCGGCACCACAUGGUGACAGUUGUUAAAAGUCCCGCAAGGGAUGCCUGGAGAUGGGCCUGCGCCCCAUUAGGUAGUUGGUGAGGUAACGGCUCACCAAGCCGACGAUGGGUAGCUGGUCUGAGAGGAUGAUCAGCCACACUGGAACUGAGACACGGUCCAGACUCCUACGGGUGGCUG